GUUUCCCUGCUUGGUGCGUGACGUGCCCGUUUAGACCCACAUCUUUUCUUCGGGACGCAGGACUUCUCCGUGGGAUUGCAGGCCUCCCGCCGGCGCGAUGACGACCGGUGGACGUUGGAAGCAGCGAACACGUUGAGAGCGGCGACCCACCUGCCCAUACGUGCAGGUUAUAAUCGGGUGCGCACGGCCGAAGUGGGGGUUCU
rnacentral:other from 1 species